rnacentral:lncRNA from 1 species
AUGAUGGAGCAAAAUGAUGGCAAGAGGACUGAUAUUGCAAAUGGGAAAUAUAUUUUCAGUUUGCAAUCUCCAAGCCAUUUAAUGGGACAGUUAAGAGUAGGACCACCUUUCUUUCCUACAUAUCUAGUUAGUCAAUGCCUACUAGCUGAUUGGGAGCUUUUUGCUUCUACUGGCUUCAUCACCUUUAUAUUGGAAAGACAAAUUAUUCAAGCUGCUUUUUUCUUUUGGCAUUAGGCAUAGCCUGAGGUCAGUUAAAAUGCUGCCAGCCAAGCAUAUUUAAUCCAGGUAUGAGACUUAGCAUUCCAAAUGUGAAAAGAAAUAAUUUACAGCUGCUCAGAUUUUCCUUUCUCCUUGUUCUGUUAGAUCUAAUGAGAUGAAAUUUAGUCAUUCUUUUCCAAAUCAUAAAAACAGUUUAGAAAGUAUUAGCAUAUGAAAGCUUGAUCCACUAUGUUCAACACACAUUUGUCAGGAAUGAUAUCACUGUAGCUGAUCUGACCUAGGGAAAGGAGAUGAGCUAGGGGGACUCCUGAGCUCCACCUUUACCCAUGACUCUCUGAUUCCAAAUGAAGGUCAUUGCUGUUUGCGCCAGGAUUGUUCCCGAGCCUUCAGAUCUUCUAACUGCAGGCUGUCUUUAAAUGCAUUUGGCUCAAGCCACAGUAGCCCAAAAGGCAGGGCUUUGUAGGCUGCAGUGGUCACUGUAAUGUUGUUUAUGUUAACACCCAGCUUGGAAUAUUUUUAAAGACUGUAAGUAACUAGGUUGGUGCUCCCAUUCAACCUGCUUUAGAUAUAUCUCCUGUGACAAAAUGUACUCACCUGGGUUCAUUUUUUCCCCUCAGUAAUCAAUAUACACAAAGCAUACGAGUAAGUUCCACAUGUGGGUGACUGAGCAUGGCUCUCCUUGUGAAACAGAGAUUUCUGUGUGCGGUGAUUUCUUGCAGCCCAAACAGAAGGAUGUCUGAGUGAGCUGCAUCACCUCAGCCACCUGAAUCCUGACAGCCAGUCCAAGAAGUAACAGUACGGUGUUACUUACACUAAAAAUACUAUAUACAGAAAGGACUUGAGAUUUCAAAUGCUCUGAGCUUUUUCAGUAUCUGCAAACCCAAAGUAGUAAAAGUAAAGUAAUACUUUUUACCCAAACUGAAUGGACUGUUAAUGAUGCAAAGGCUUAUGUAAGUACCAUAGCUCUGUGGUGAUUCCACUGGAAAAUUCUUGUCAGAUUUAGUGCCCAAGAUACUAGGUGCCAAACUAGCACAUGGGGAAAGAUAAUCCCAGUCCCAAGCGCUUCACAAUAUCCUGUAACUUAAUUAAAAACAAAAGAUGCCAGCAACAUACAUCGUGUAAAUUGAAAACAGACUUUAGUAGCCUACAGUGCAAAUACUGACUUCAGGGUAGCAUCUGGGACAUCUCCUACACAGAAGGUAAGGUCAUUGGCUAGGCAUUGUACAUAUAUAUUAUUGGGUAAUACUUAUCAGAUAUAGAAAUGACUAUUAUGUACUAUGUUAUCUACUAAGUCUUGUUUUUCCUCUAGUAUAAACUAAAAACUACAUAACAAGGUGUAGAAAAAAGUGUGGAAGAAGGGGCAGUUCUCACUUGAGGGCAGUCAUUUCCUGUGAGAAACCCAACAUAACAGUGAUAUCCGAAUUUAAAGGUGCAAGGCCAAGCAAAAAACAGCACAAGAAUAACAGCAUGAGAAUGACACUGGAAAAAUAUUGCCACAGCAGCUUAGGAGAAAGAUUACAGAGCUGAGUUAAAGAAAGACUACAGAAUUGCAAAUGAGAGGUCCUUAGCAUUACAAAGGUUAAGGCGCUGUGCGACAUGGGGAACUUUAAGAAUGUGAUGGGAGAGUUAUUAUACUUCAAAGAAAGAAAGAAAGACAAGAUCAGUAGGAAAAUAAAUAGACUACUCAGCAGCUUGACA